rnacentral:rRNA from 1 species
UGAGGAAUAUUGGGCAAUGCCCGCAAGGGUGACCCAGCAACGCCGCGUGGAGGAUGAAUGUCGUAAGAUUGUAAACUCCUGUUAGAGGGGAAGAAUAGUACCGGUUGGACCGGUAUAUGACUGUACCCUCAGAGAAAGCCCAGGCUAACUACGUGCCAGCAGCCGCGGUAAUACGAAGGGUGCAAGCGUUACUCGGAAUUUCUGGGCGUAAAGCGUGCGUAGGUGGUUCGUUAAGUCUGAUGUGAAAGCCCUGGGCUCAACCUGGGAAUUGCAUUGUAAACUGGCGGACUGGAGUGCGGUAGAGGGUAGCGGAAUUCCCGGUGUAGCAGUGAAAUGCGUAGAGAUCGGGAGGAACAUCCGUGGCGAAGGCGGCUACCUGGACCAGCACUGACACUGAGGCACGAAAGCGUGGGGAGCAAACA